GAUGAGAGUUUGAUCCUGGCUCAGGAUGAACGCUGGCGGUCUGCUUAACACAUGCAAGUCGAACGCAACCUUCGGGUUGAGUGGCGGACGGGUGAGUAACGCGUGAGAAUCUGCCUUGGGGUCGGGGACAACCACUGGAAACGGUGGCUAAUACCGGAUACGCCUUCGGGUAAAAGAUUUAUUGCCCUAAGAGGAGCUCGCGUCUGAUUAGCUAGUUGGUGAGGUAAGAGCUCACCAAGGCAGCGAUCAGUAGCUGGUCUGAGAGGACGAUCAGCCACACUGGGACUGAGAUACGGCCCAGACUCCUACGGGAGGCAGCAGUGGGGAAUUUUCCGCAAUGGGCGAAAGCCUGACGGAGCAAGACCGCGUGAGGGAGGAAGGCUCUUGGGUUGUAAACCUCUUUUCUCAGGGAAGAAGCUCUGACGGUACCUGAGGAAUCAGCCUCGGCUAACUCCGUGCCAGCAGCCGCGGUAAUACGGAGGAGGCAAGCGUUAUCCGGAAUUAUUGGGCGUAAAGCGUCCGCAGGUGGCGAUUCAAGUCUGCUGUCAAAGCACGGGGCUUAACUCCGUAAAGGCAGUGGAAACUGAAUAGCUAGAGUGCCGUAGGGGUAGAGGGAAUUCCCGGUGUAGCGGUGAAAUGCGUAGAGAUCGGGAAGAACAUCGGUGGCGAAAGCGCUCUACUGGACGGCAACUGACACUCAGGGACGAAAGCUAGGGGAGCGAAUCUUUCUAGAAGAUCUCCUACAAUAUUCUCAGCUGCCAUGGAAAAUCGAUGUUCUUCUUUUAUUCUCUCA
rnacentral:rRNA from 1 species